CAAUCCCCGCGGAAUUUACGCACUUUCGUCUUGUGCUCUUAGAUGUUCUCCAGGUAGACUGCAACCAACACCGUUAGAAUAAACCCACCUGUGCUUGGGCCAGCCUGAGAGGUCUUCAUUCCUUGCUGUCCAGAAAACCUUCAAAUGCUGCAGCAUAACCAGCUUCUAACAUUGUCCACUGGAGCAG
rnacentral:lncRNA from 1 species